rnacentral:rRNA from 1 species
UACGAAGGGUGCAAGCGUUACUCGGAAUUACUGGGCGUAAAGCGUGCGUAGGUGGUUCGUUAAGUCUGUCGUGAAAGCCCCGGGCUCAACCUGGGAAUGGCGAUGGAUACUGGCGGGCUAGAGUGCGGUAGAGGAGAGUGGAAUUCCCGGUGUAGCAGUGAAAUGCGUAGAUAUCGGAAGGAACACCAGUGGCGAAAGCGGCUUCCUGGUCCAGCACCGACGUUCAGGCACGAAAGCGUGGGGAGCAAACAGG